rnacentral:rRNA from 1 species
UACGAAGGGGGCUAGCGUUGCUCGGAAUGACUGGGCGUAAAGGGCGCGUAGGCGGUUUGUACAGUCAGAUGUGAAAUUCCCGGGCUCAACCUGGGGGCUGCAUUUGAUACGUAUGGACUUGAGUGGGGAAGAGGGUCGUGGAAUUCCCAGUGUAGAGGUGAAAUUCGUAGAUAUUGGGAAGAACACCGGUGGCGAAGGCGGUGACCUGGUCCUUGACUGACGCUGAGGCGCGAAAGCGUGGGGAGCAAACAGG